rnacentral:lncRNA from 10 species
ACAAACUGUUCCUACCCUCUGCCUACACACAGUGCAGCUCUUUGCAGUUCCUUGAGACUGUUUCCUCCAUGUCACAUGGGUGGCAUUUAGGAGGCUCUUGAUUGAAGAUAUGUGUUUACUAAAAAGUUGUUAAGUCUUCAGGAAUUCAAAUUCUCACAUCCAAUGUCAUGCUAUAAAAAGAUUCAUUCACCAAGUCCCCAUGACACAUUCCUUCUCUCCACACUUAUAGGAACAGAAGGAUGCCAUGAUGGUUUAAUCAGGGAAGCAUGUCCCAAAGACAGUUGCCUGUAGGCUCCUGGGUCUCAAAUUUGACCCAAGGCUGGGAUGAUGGAAUGCCAUUCCCAUCUGGUAACUGGUUUCUUGGCUUGGGAGACAGAAACCCAGAUCUCUGGGCCAGGUUCUCAGCAGGCCUUCCCUUCUGUUGUUUUCCCUUGUCCCCUAAACCUUGUCACUGGAAGUAGAGAUGACUCUUUGGUGCCUAUGUCCCUAGAACAGGAACUUCAUUCUUUCUAAUGAGGUAUUCUCUGAAUUCUCCCACAACCACCAGAGGUAGGAAAAAGAGAGGGGAGACAGAGGACUUAGUGUUGUAAGCUCUUUAGGGUCACUGCCAUGAGCUUGGUUCAGGGUCUGGUUCUGUUCAACCAUCUGCAGCACUUUCUCUAGGCCUUGGUUUCUCCUCUGUAAAAUGGCAUGGGCACUAACCUUGGAUUGUUGUCAGUACCCAAUGACCUCACGGAGACUCAAUGUGUUGGUUCCUCGACACCCCCUAAAUGCUUCUAGGGGUGUAGCUGCCGCUUCCUCCUCACACAAAAAGGGGUGACGCAUGUCUCAAGGAUGAAUCUUGCGAACAUGAUGCUAAAUGAAAUAAGUCACGAAAGGAGAAAUAGUAUAUGAUUCCACUUAUAUGAGAUACUGAGAGUAGACAAAUCUAUAGAGAUAGAAACUAGAGUGGUGGCUGCCAGGGGCUGAGGGAAGAGAGAUAGGUAAUUAGUGUUUAGUGAGUACAGAAUUUCAGUUUUAUAAGAUGAAAAGCAUUCUGGAGAUGAAUAGUCGUGAUGGUUGCACAACAAUGUAAAUGUACUUAAUUCCAUUAAAUUCUACACUUAAAAAUUGUUAAGAUGAUAAAUUUAUGGUGUGUAUAUUGUACCACAGUUAAAAAAAAAAGAUGGUGCAGGUCAGAAAGCGGUCAGGAAAGUCCCAGUUAAGACUCCAAGGACUUCCCCAGGUUAGUGUGACUUGGCAUUCAUGAAUAAAAUGUGGCUUUCUGGGUAUUAAUCUG